CCCCAUUUCAUCCCUCAAUCAAAAAUAAAGAAAGAAAAAGAGAGAAAACUAUCUCAAAUUACUCUCAUCGGGGAAGAAAACAACCUCUCGACGGUGGUGGCCCACGGUGCCCGGAGGAAGUGAAACCCUCCCAAAAGCUCCCUCUCCUCUUCAUUAACUCAUAUUUGAGUCCUGAUCACUGAGAAAACCCCUAGAAGCCUAGAUCUAAGGAUUUACCUUCGGGUAACUCAAACCUCCAACGACUUCUUGGCUUCCUAGUGACCGAUGACAAAGUGGCGAUGAUGGAAAGGAGCGGUCGAAACAGUGGCAGCGAAAUCGACGACAGAAGACGACACUCAUGGCUAACAGCGACGGCGGUUGAAACCUUAGGGUUCAAAAACCCUAAAACAUAUGGGAUAAAGUUUGGGCUAAGUUCAUUUGUAAUUGGGUUGGUUUGAGCCUAGAUCAUUUUGGUCUGUAAAAAAUAUAUAAUAUAAAUUAAUAAUAUAAAUAAUAAUAUUAAAUAUUAA